rnacentral:rRNA from 1 species
AUUGAACGCUGGCGGAAUGCUUUACACAUGCAAGUCGAACGGCAGCACGGGGCAACCUGGUGGCGAGUGGCGAACGGGUGAGUAAUACAUCGGAACGUGCCCAAUCGUGGGGGAUAACGUAGCGAAAGUUACGCUAAUACCGCAUACGAUCUACGGAUGAAAGCGGGGGAUCGCAAGACCUCGCGCGAAUGGAGCGGCCGAUGUCAGAUUAGGUAGUUGGUGGGGUAAAGGCUCACCAAGCCGACGAUCUGUAGCUGGUCUGAGAGGACGACCAGCCACACUGGGACUGAGACACGGCCCAGACUCCUACGGGAGGCAGCAGUGGGGAAUUUUGGACAAUGGGCGCAAGCCUGAUCCAGCCAUUCCGCGUGCAGGAUGAAAGGCCUU